GGGUUGUGAGGUUAAGCGACUAAGCGUACACGGUGGAUGCCCUGGCAGUCAGAGGCGAUGAAGGACGUGCUAAUCUGCGAUAAGCGUCGGUAAGGUGAUAUGAACCGUUAUAACCGGCGAUUUCCGAAUGGGGAAACCCAGUGUGAUUCGUCACACUAUCGUUAAGUGAAUACAUAGCUUAACGAAGCGAACCGGGGGAACUGAAACAUCUAAGUACCCGAGGAAAAGAAAUCAACCGAGAUUCCCCCAGUAGCGGCGAGCGAACGGGGAGGAGCCCAGAGUCUGAAUCAGCGCGUGUGUUAGUGGAACGGUCUGGAAAGUCCGGCGGUACAGGGUGAUAGCCCCGUACACUAAAAUGCACACGUUGUGAACUCGAAGAGUAGGGCGGGACACGUGGUAUCCUGUCUGAAUAUGGGGGGACCAUCCUCCAAGGCUAAAUACUCCUGACUGACCGAUAGUGAACCAGUACCGUGAGGGAAAGGCGAAAAGAACCCCGGCGAGGGGAGUGAAAAAGAACCUGAAACCGUGUACGUACAAGCAGUGGGAGCCUCUUUAUGGGGUGACUGCGUACCUUUUGUAUAAUGGGUCAGCGACUUAUAUUCUGUAGCAAGGUUAACCGUAUAGGGGAGCCGCAGGGAAACCGAGUCUUAACUGGGCGUUAAGUUGCAGGGUAUAGACCCGAAACCCGGUGAUCUAGCCAUGGGCAGGUUGAAGGUUGGGUAACACUAACUGGAGGACCGAACCGACUAAUGUUGAAAAAUUAGCGGAUGACUUGUGGCUGGGGGUGAAAGGCCAAUCAAACCGGGAGAUAGCUGGUUCUCCCGAAAGCUAUUUAGGUAGCGCCUCGUGAACUCAUCUUCGGGGGUAGAGCACUGUUUCGGCUAGGGGGUCAUCCCGACUUACCAACCCGAUGCAAACUACGAAUACCGAAGAAUGUUAUCACGGGAGACACACGGCGGGUGCUAACGUCCGUCGUGAAGAGGGAAACAACCCAGACCGCCAGCUAAGGUCCCAAAGUCAUGGUUAAGUGGGAAACGAUGUGGGAAGGCACAGACAGCCAGGAUGUUGGCUUAGAAGCAGCCAUCAUUUAAAGAAAGCGUAAUAGCUCACUGGUCGAGUCGGCCUGCGCGGAAGAUGUAACGGGGCUAAACCAUGCACCGAAGCUGCGGCAGCGACACUAUGUGUUGUUGGGUAGGGGAGCGUUCUGUAAGCCGUUGAAGGUGGCCUGUGAGGGUUGCUGGAGGUAUCAGAAGUGCGAAUGCUGACAUAAGUAACGAUAAAGCGGGUGAAAAGCCCGCUCGCCGGAAGACCAAGGGUUCCUGUCCAACGUUAAUCGGGGCAGGGUGAGUCGACCCCUAAGGCGAGGCCGAAAGGCGUAGUCGAUGGGAAACAGGUUAAUAUUCCUGUACUCGGUGUUACUGCGAAGGGGGGACGGAGAAGGCUAUGUUAGCCGGGCGACGGUUGUCCCGGUUUAAGCAUGUAGGCGGAGGUUCCAGGUAAAUCCGGUACCUUUUUUAACGCUGAGGUGUGAUGACGAGGCACUACGGUGCUGAAGUAACAAAUGCCCUGCUUCCAGGAAAAGCCUCUAAGCAUCAGGUAACAACGAAUCGUACCCCAAACCGACACAGGUGGUCAGGUAGAGAAUACCAAGGCGCUUGAGAGAACUCGGGUGAAGGAACUAGGCAAAAUGGUGCCGUAACUUCGGGAGAAGGCACGCUGAUGGUAGGUGAAGUGACUUGCUCAUGGAGCUGAAAUCAGUCGAAGAUACCAGCUGGCUGCAACUGUUUAUUAAAAACACAGCACUGUGCAAACACGAAAGUGGACGUAUACGGUGUGACGCCUGCCCGGUGCCGGAAGGUUAAUUGAUGGGGUUAUCCGUAAGGAGAAGCUCUUGAUCGAAGCCCCGGUAAACGGCGGCCGUAACUAUAACGGUCCUAAGGUAGCGAAAUUCCUUGUCGGGUAAGUUCCGACCUGCACGAAUGGCGUAAUGAUGGCCAGGCUGUCUCCACCCGAGACUCAGUGAAAUUGAACUCGCUGUGAAGAUGCAGUGUACCCGCGGCAAGACGGAAAGACCCCGUGAACCUUUACUAUAGCUUGACACUGAACAUUGAGCCUUGAUGUGUAGGAUAGGUGGGAGGCUUUGAAGCGUGGACGCCAGUCUGCGUGGAGCCAACCUUGAAAUACCACCCUUUAAUGUUUGAUGUUCUAACGUAGACCCGUGAUCCGGGUUGCGGACAGUGUCUGGUGGGUAGUUUGACUGGGGCGGUCUCCUCCCAAAGAGUAACGGAGGAGCACGAAGGUUAGCUAAUCCUGGUCGGACAUCAGGAGGUUAGUGCAAUGGCAUAAGCUAGCUUGACUGCGAGCGUGACGGCGCGAGCAGGUGCGAAAGCAGGUCAUAGUGAUCCGGUGGUUCUGAAUGGAAGGGCCAUCGCUCAACGGAUAAAAGGUACUCCGGGGAUAACAGGCUGAUACCGCCCAAGAGUUCAUAUCGACGGCGGUGUUUGGCACCUCGAUGUCGGCUCAUCACAUCCUGGGGCUGAAGUAGGUCCCAAGGGUAUGGCUGUUCGCCAUUUAAAGUGGUACGCGAGCUGGGUUUAGAACGUCGUGAGACAGUUCGGUCCCUAUCUGCCGUGGGCGCUGGAGAAUUGAGGGGGGCUGCUCCUAGUACGAGAGGACCGGAGUGGACGCAUCACUGGUGUUCGGGUUGUCAUGCCAAUGGCAUUGCCCGGUAGCUAAAUGCGGAAAAGAUAAGUGCUGAAAGCAUCUAAGCACGAAACUUGCCCCGAGAUGAGUUCUCCCUGACUCCUUGAGAGUCCUGAAGGAACGUUGAAGACGACGACGUUGAUAGGUCGGGUGUGUAAGCGUAGCGAUACGUUGAGCUAACCGAUACUAAUGAACCGUGAGGCUUAACCUUACAACGCCGAAGCUGUU
rnacentral:rRNA from 1 species